rnacentral:rRNA from 1 species
GGAAUAUUGGACAAUGGGCGAAAGCCUGAUCCAGCAAUGCCGCGUGAGUGAUGAAGGCCUUAGGGUUGUAAAGCUCUUUUACCAGGGAUGAUAAUGACAGUACCUGGAGAAUAAGCUCCGGCUAACUCCGUGCCAGCAGCCGCGGUAAUACGGAGGGAGCUAGCGUUGUUCGGAAUUACUGGGCGUAAAGCGCAUGCAGGCGGAUCGAUAAGUCGGGGGUGAAAGCCCGAGGCUCAACCUCGGAACUGCCUUCGAUACUGUCGAUCUUGAGUCCGGGAGAGGUGAGUGGAACUCCGAGUGUAGAGGUGAAAUUCGUAGAUAUUCGGAAGAACACCAGUGGCGAAGGCGGCUCACUGGCCCGGUACUGACGCUGAGAUGCGAAAGCGUGGGGAGCAA